GACGAACGCUGGCGGCGUGCUUAACACAUGCAAGUCGAGCGGAGCGGCGAACGGGUGAGUAACGCGUGAGUCACUGCCCCCCUCUCUGGGAUAACAUUUGUACACGGCUGCUAAUACCGGAUCGUGGGGGAUGACUCGCGUCCUAUCAGCUUUUUGGUGGGGUAGUGGCCGACCAAGGCGACGACGGGUAGACGGCCUGGGAGGGCGACCGGCAACAUGGGGUUGAGAGACGGCCCAAACUACGAAGGGGGGCAGCAGUGGGGAAGAUUGCACAAUGGGGGAAACCCUGAUGCAGAAACGCCGCGUGCGGGAUGACGGCCUGCGGGUUGUAAACCGCUUUCAGCCAUGACGCGGUAGUGGCAGAAGAAGCACCGGCUAACUACGUGCCAGCAGCCGCGGUAAUUC
rnacentral:rRNA from 1 species